CCUACUGUGCGCAGCAGUGGGGGAUAUUGCACAAUGGGGGAAACCCUGAUGCAGCGAUGCCGCGUGAAUGAAGACGGUCUUCGGGUUGUAAAGUUCUGUCGCAGGGGACGAAAAUGACGGUAACCUGCAAGACACCUCCGGCCAACUACGUGCCAGCAGCCGCGGUCAUACGAAGGGAGCAAGCGUUGUCCGGAAGUACUGGGUGUAAAGGGAGCGGAGGCGGGAGGAUAAGUUGAAUGUGAAAUCUAUGGGUUCAACCCAUAGUUGCUUUCAAAACUGUUCUUCUUGAGUGAAGUAGAGGCAGGCGGAAUUCCAAGUGUAGCGGUGAAAUGCGUAGAUAUUAGGAGGAACACCAGUGGCGAAGGCAGCCUGCUGGGCUUUGACUGACGCUGAGGCUCGAAAGCGUGGGUAGCAAACAGGAUUAGAUACCCGUGUAGUC
rnacentral:rRNA from 1 species